UACGAAGGGGGCAAGCGUUGUUCGGAUUUACUGGGCGUAAAGGGCGCGCAGGCGGCUCGCCAAGUCAGAUGUGAAAGCCCCGGGCUCAACCUGGGAACUGCAUUUGAGACUGGCGAACUCGAGUUCGGGAGAGGAUGGCGGAAUUCCCAGUGUAGAGGUGAAAUGCGCAGAUAUCGAGGAGGAACACCGGUGGCGAAGGCGGGUCUCUGGGC
rnacentral:rRNA from 1 species